GCGCUAACACUUUACAAUGCUGGCAACAGCGAUAAGGGGACCUCGAGUGCCAGGUUACAAAUCUGGCUGUCGUGAUGCCUAAAAAGCAUUGCAUAGCAAGGGCCGGGCAAGACCGGUGCCAGCCGCCGCGGUAACACCGGCGGCUCGAGUGGUAACCGUUAUUAUUGGGUCUAAAGGGUCUGUAGCCGGCCGGAUAAGUCUCUUGGGAAAUCUGGCAGCUUAACUGUCAGGCUUUCAGGAGAUACUGUCUGGCUCGAGGCCGGGAGAGGUGAGAGGUACUUCAGGGGUAGGGGUGAAAUCUUGUAAUCCUUGAAGGACCACCAGUGGCGAAGGCGUCUCACCAGAACGGACCUGACGGCAAGGGACGAAAGCUAGGGGCACGAACC
rnacentral:rRNA from 1 species